rnacentral:lncRNA from 8 species
UUGGCUGGACUGCCAGGCUCCUCCCCCCCAGUCUCUGUUUGUGAUGUACGAACAGAUCCGUCCCCACGAUCCCUUUGGUCGAGUCAUGCAGGACCACUUCCUGAAGCUCAACUCCACCUUGCAUGUGCUCAGAGACUACCCAGAAACAACUGCACAGACACACAGCCUUGUCCAGGAACCUGUGUGUCUGUGCAGUUGACUGGUUCUCUCUUUCUGAAAGUUACUGUUUCAAGUGUUAUUAAGUGUUUGCUCUAUCUUCAGGGCUGGGAGCAGUGUGUGUGUGCUCUAUCUUCAGGGCUGGGAGCGGUGUGUGUGUGUGCUCUAUCUUCAGGGCUGGGAGCGGUGUGUGUGUGUGCUCUAUCUUCAGGGCUGGGAGCAGUGUGUGUGUGCUCUAUCUUCAGGGCUGGGAGCAGUGUGUGUGUGCGCUCUAUCUUCAGGGCUGGGAGCAGUGUGUGUGUGCUCUAUCUUCAGGGCUGGGAGCGGUGUGUGUGUGCUCUAUCUUCAGGGCUGGGAGCAGUGUGUGUGUGCUCUAUCUUCAGGGCUGGGAGCGGUGUGUGUGUGUGCUCUAUCUUCAGGGCUGGGAGCGGUGUGUGUGUGUGCUCUAUCUUCAGGGCUGGGAGCGGUGUGUGUGUGUGCUCUAUCUUCAGGGCUGGGAGCGGUGUGUGUGUGCUCUAUCUUCAGGGCUGGGAGCGGUGUGUGUGUGCUCUAUCUUCAGGGCUGGGAGCGGUGUGUGUGUGCGCUCUAUCUUCAGGGCUGGGAGCGGUGUGUGUGUGCUCUAUCUUCAGGGCUGGGAGCGGUGUGUGUGUGUGCUCUAUCUUCAGGGCUGGGAGCAGUGUGUGUGUGCUCUAUCUUCAGGGCUGGGAGCGGUGUGUGUGUGCUCUAUCUUCAGGGCUGGGAGCGGUGUGUGUGUCUGGAUGUGAAUCAGUUUACCUGGGUCUGGUUCCAGAGGAGAGCUGUAGAGUUGAGAUCCUGGAACCAUUUGAUGAGUUUGAGGUGAGUUACUCUAAUCUAAUUGGUCCUGACUAG